AUGCUUAGGAUCAUUUGCAGUUCCCUUUUUUCUCCAUACUUUUGCUUUAGAUUGACAGAGCAUCACACCAGCUUUCUGGAGGUUGUAGGUGAUUUUACAGACAUGUAUCAUGUUCAUUUUCACAGCUUUUAUGAUUUGGCUGUCAUCAACUAUUGUUCUUCUCAGCCGAUCAGGUCGUCGCUGGUUGCUGAUUUCGCCGAGUCGACUUCCUCAUCUUCAUCCUGGUUUGUGUGUGUCAUCAUCGAAUGGAAGACUUUAGAAUGCAGAAGCAAUAGCAUUACCAUACACCUUCCUCUGGGUUUGGCUGACAAAUCUUUCCACCACUUCGCCUCCAGAACAGUCUGUUUCUCUUUAGGAAUCCUUUGCUUUUCCUGCUGACUCAGCUGGGCAGAGACUGCCGGGAUCACAG
rnacentral:lncRNA from 1 species